rnacentral:lncRNA from 1 species
AUGUCUGGUCGUGGGAAGGGUGGCAAAGGCCUCGGCAAGGGGGGUGCUAAGCGCCAUCGCAAAGUCUUGCGGGACAACAUUCAGGGUAUUACUAAACCAGCUAUCCGGCGUCUGGCUCGUCGUGGAGGCGUCAAACGUAUCUUUGGUCUUAUCUACGAAGAGACUCGUGGGGUGCUGAAAGUGUUUCUGGAAAAUGUGAUCCGGGACGCGGUCACCUAUACGGAGCACGCUAAGCGCAAGACUGUUAACCGCCAUGGAUGUGGUCUACGCGCUCAAACGUCAGGGCCGUACCCUUUACGGUUUUGGUGGUUGA